UCAAAACCUUCAUUUGCUAGUACAGAUACGAAAAUCAAAUUCCAACUAGCUACAGAAAUAAAAUAAUAGUCCUUUAAAUCUAAUAUAAAAUUAGACGAUAAUUGAAGAGGAUAAGUGCCAAUAGCUUCUGCAGCAACUUUUGCUCCAUUGCCAAUCCGAAGGCUCAUGUCAUCUUUCCUCAACCUCUUACUUUUUAUUAGAUCCUGCAUUG
rnacentral:lncRNA from 1 species